rnacentral:misc_RNA from 1 species
AAGUCGUAACAAGGUCUCCGUAGGUGAACCUGCGGAGGGAUCAUUACUGAGUUUUCAACUCUCCAAACCAUGUGAACUUACCACUGUUGCCUCGGUGGACUGGUGCCUUCUCUCGGGAAGGUGCUGCCGCCGGCGGACUACUAAACUCUUGUUAAUUUUUGGCAUUCUGAAUCAUAACUAAGAAAUAAGUUAAAACUUUCAACAACGGAUCUCUUGGUUCUG